GUCUUUCAGUGCUUGAAGAAACUAGCUCUGAUGACUCCUCACCCGCUAAUAAGAAAUGAAGCUGUCAAUUCCAAUUUAAGAUGCCUACAGUAAGCAGUAAGACAGAAGUGAAAACUGCAAUGGAGGGAUCCUGUAAUUUUUCUUGUAAGAAAAAGCUGUUUGCUUUGAAAGCAUAAUCCAUAGAAGAAAGUGUGACAUCCAAAUAAUAUCUUCUUCUAAUCAGAUUGUAAUUCUUCAUAUUUAUUAAUAUACUUCAUUCAGCAGUUUAAAGGAACAGAAAA